GCCUUGUUGGUAGAGCGCUCCACUUGUAAUGGAGAGGUCCCGGGUUCGAUACCCGGACCAGGCG
rnacentral:tRNA from 2 species